UUAAGCGACUAAGCGUACACGGUGGAUGCCCUGGCAGUCAGAGGCGAUGAAGGACGUGCUAAUCUGCGAAAAGCGUCGGUAAGGUGAUAUGAACCGUUAUAACCGGCGAUGUCCGAAUGGGGAAACCCAGUGCAAUUCGUUGCACUAUCGUUAACUGAAUACAUAGGUUAACGAGGCGAACCGGGGGAACUGAAACAUCUAAGUACCCCGAGGAAAAGAAAUCAACCGAGAUUCCCCCAGUAGCGGCGAGCGAACGGGGAGCAGCCCAGAGUCUGAAUCAGCUUGUGUGUUAGUGGAACGGUCUGGAAAGUCCGACGGUACAGGGUGAUAGUCCCGUACACCAAAAUGCACAGGCUGUGAACUCGAAGAGUAGGGCGGGACACGUGGUAUCCUGUCUGAAUAUGGGGGGACCAUCCUCCAAGGCUAAAUACUCCUGACUGACCGAUAGUGAACCAGUACCGUGAGGGAAAGGCGAAAAGAACCCCGGCGAGGGGAGUGAAAAAGAACCUGAAACCGUGUACGUACAAGCAGUGGGAGCACCUUCGGGUGUGACUGCGUACCUUUUGUAUAAUGGGUCAGCGACUUAUAUUCUGUAGCAAGGUUAACCGUAUAGGGGAGCCGCAGGGAAACCGAGUCUUAACUGGGCGUUAAGUUGCAGGGUAUAGACCCGAAACCCGGUGAUCUAGCCAUGGGCAGGUUGAAGGUUGGGUAACACUAACUGGAGGACCGAACCGACUAAUGUUGAAAAAUUAGCGGAUGACUUGUGGCUGGGGGUGAAAGGCCAAUCAAACCGGGAGAUAGCUGGUUCUCCCCGAAAGCUAUUUAGGUAGCGCCUCGUGAAUUCAUCUUCGGGGGUAGAGCACUGUUUCGGCUAGGGGGUCAUCCCGACUUACCAACCCGAUGCAAACUACGAAUACCAAAGAAUGUUAUCACGGGAGACACACGGCGGGUGCUAACGUCCGUCGUGAAGAGGGAAACAACCCAGACCGCCAGCUAAGGUCCCAAAGUCAUGGUUAAGUGGGAAACGAUGUGGGAAGGCACAGACAGCCAGGAUGUUGGCUUAGAAGCAGCCAUCAUUUAAAGAAAGCGUAAUAGCUCACUGGUCGAGUCGGCCUGCGCGGAAGAUGUAACGGGGCUAAACCAUGCACCGAAGCUGCGGCAGCGACACUAUGUGUUGUUGGGUAGGGGAGCGUUCUGUAAGCCUGCGAAGGUGUGCUGUGAGGCAUGCUGGAGGUAUCAGAAGUGCGAAUGCUGACAUAAGUAACGAUAAAGCGGGUGAAAAGCCCGCUCGCCGGAAGACCAAGGGUUCCUGUCCAACGUUAAUCGGGGCAGGGUGAGUCGACCCCUAAGGCGAGGCCGAAAGGCGUAGUCGAUGGGAAACAGGUUAAUAUUCCUGUACUUGGUGUUACUGCGAAGGGGGGACGGAGAAGGCUAUGUUAGCCGGGCGACGGUUGUCCCGGUUUAAGCAUGUAGGCUGGUUAUCCAGGCAAAUCCGGAUAAUCAAGGCUGAGGUGUGAUGACGAGGCACUACGGUGCUGAAGUAACAAAUGCCCUGCUUCCAGGAAAAGCCUCUAAGCAUCAGGUAACAUUAAAUCGUACCCCAAACCGACACAGGUGGUCAGGUAGAGAAUACCAAGGCGCUUGAGAGAACUCGGGUGAAGGAACUAGGCAAAAUGGUGCCGUAACUUCGGGAGAAGGCACGCUGGUGUGUAGGUGAAGCCCCUGCGGGUGGAGCUGAGACCAGUCGAAGAUACCAGCUGGCUGCAACUGUUUAUUAAAAACACAGCACUGUGCAAACACGAAAGUGGACGUAUACGGUGUGACGCCUGCCCGGUGCCGGAAGGUUAAUUGAUGGGGUUAUCCGUAAGGAGAAGCUCUUGAUCGAAGCCCCGGUAAACGGCGGCCGUAACUAUAACGGUCCUAAGGUAGCGAAAUUCCUUGUCGGGUAAGUUCCGACCUGCACGAAUGGCGUAAUGAUGGCCAGGCUGUCUCCACCCGAGACUCAGUGAAAUUGAACUCGCUGUGAAGAUGCAGUGUACCCGCGGCAAGACGGAAAGACCCCGUGAACCUUUACUAUAGCUUGACACUGAACAUUGAGCCUUGAUGUGUAGGAUAGGUGGGAGGCUUUGAAGCGUAGACGCCAGUCUGCGUGGAGCCAACCUUGAAAUACCACCCUUUAAUGUUUGAUGUUCUAACGUUGGCCCCUUACCGGGGUUGCGGACAGUGUCUGGUGGGUAGUUUGACUGGGGCGGUCUCCUCCCAAAGCGUAACGGAGGAGCACGAAGGUUAGCUAAUCCUGGUCGGACAUCAGGAGGUUAGUGCAAUGGCAUAAGCUAGCUUGACUGCGAGCGUGACGGCGCGAGCAGGUGCGAAAGCAGGUCAUAGUGAUCCGGUGGUUCUGAAUGGAAGGGCCAUCGCUCAACGGAUAAAAGGUACUCCGGGGAUAACAGGCUGAUACCGCCCAAGAGUUCAUAUCGACGGCGGUGUUUGGCACCUCGAUGUCGGCUCAUCACAUCCUGGGGCUGAAGUAGGUCCCAAGGGUAUGGCUGUUCGCCAUUUAAAGUGGUACGCGAGCUGGGUUUAGAACGUCGUGAGACAGUUCGGUCCCUAUCUGCCGUGGGCGCUGGAGAAUUGAGGGGGGCUGCUCCUAGUACGAGAGGACCGGAGUGGACGCAUCACUGGUGUUCGGGUUGUCAUGCCAAUGGCACUGCCCGGUAGCUAAAUGCGGAAGAGAUAAGUGCUGAAAGCAUCUAAGCACGAAACUUGCCCCGAGAUGAGUUCUCCCUGAGACUUUAAGUCUCCUGAAGGAACGUUAAAGACGAUGACGUUGAUAGGCCGGGUGUGUAAGCGCAGCGAUGCGUUGAGCUAACCGGUACUAAUGAACCGUGAGGCUUAACCUU
rnacentral:rRNA from 1 species